rnacentral:lncRNA from 1 species
AGAAGCUAGCCCCUGAAUCUCGAGUUGACCUAGCAGCUUAUAUUUCCACAGUCCAAAGUAUCCUUUCCCAUCGAACUUCUCCAUCUCGAAACGGCCUCGUGUAGGCUCCAUCGAGAACUGAUCUGUUGCCAUUUCUUCCGCUUCAAAAGAUCAGAUCUCAGAAGCAAUAACUCGUUCUGUAGUCACCUGCUACAUUCACCACUAACCACAGCAA